UACAGAGGGGGCAAGCGUUGUUCGGAAUUACUGGGCGUAAAGGGCGCGUAGGCGGCCCGCUAAGUCGAACGUGAAAUCCCCAGGCUCAACCUGGGAACUGCGUCCGAUACUGGCAGGCUUGAAUCCGGGAGAGGGAUGUGGAAUUCCAGGUGUAGCGGUGAAAUGCGUAGAUAUCUGGAGGAAUACCGGUGGCGAAGGCGGCAUCCUGGACCGAGAUUGACACUGAUGAGCGAAAGCUAGGGGAGCAAACGGG
rnacentral:rRNA from 1 species